GACGAACGCUGGCGGCGUGCUUAACACAUGCAAGUCGAACGGAAAGGCCCUGCUUUUGUGGGGUGCUCGAGUGGCGAACGGGUGAGUAACACGUGAGUAACCUGCCCUUGACUUUGGGAUAACUUCAGGAAACUGGGGCUAAUACCGGAUAGGAGCUCCUGCUGCAUGGUGGGGGUUGGAAAGUUUCGGCGGUUGGGGAUGGACUCGCGGCUUAUCAGCUUGUUGGUGGGGUAGUGGCUUACCAAGGCUUUGACGGGUAGCCGGCCUGAGAGGGUGACCGGCCACAUGGGGACGGAGAUACGGCCCAGACUCCUACGGGAGGCAGCAGUGGGGAAUAUUGCACAAUGGGCGGAAGCCUGAUGCAGCAACGCCGCGUGCGGGAUGACGGCCUUCGGGUUGUAAACCGCUUUCGCCUGUGACGAAGCGUGAGUGACGGUAAUGGGUAAAGAAGCACCGGCUAACUACGU
rnacentral:rRNA from 1 species